ACUUUGGGCACUUUCAAAUCGGUACUUAACAAAAUUUAUCGAUACUAAAGAAAAAAUAUCGAUACUUAUCCAUAAGUGUUGAUACUUUCAGGGCUUUUAAAAUUCCUGCAACAUGUUUUAAAGCAGUUUCGGGCAAAAAAAAAUUCUCAUUUUUUCCUCCACUGAAUCCCUUAAAUCAAACCACUCAAAAUCCUUCAAAUUUUUCAUCCACUUUUCGAUAUUAUCACUCUAAACACUUCACAUUUCAACCUUACCAAGGAUUCAACAGGUUUUGCUUUAGAUUUUUCAUCUUCUACAAGCAUUUUCAAGCUCAAAAUCCCUACCAGAGGUGAUCCUCCAAUAACCUAUCCUACUCCUCUUGGUUUUGGUGCUUUUCGACAUAUGGGAUAUAGAAAGGAUCCCUAUACUGGUGCUCAGAUCAAGGGUGGUCCACUUGAGAUCUAUAGAGAUGAAGAUAAGGAUAUGGGUGAGAUUCCCGAUCUGAUUCCUACUCAAGAGCAUGCUCCUCCUCCCAUGCCUACUCCAACUAAAGAUCAAACCUUUUCAACAGAUACUCUUUCCAUUCUUGGAGUUAUUAAUGCUUUGAACGAUGAGUUUUGAGGCUUUUAGACUUCAGUUGAUGUGAGGAUGAAUACAUUGGAGGAUAAUAUGAUUUAUAUUAUGUCUCAAUUCCCUCCACCGCAACCUCCACCUCAAGAGGAAUAUGAUAGGUGUUGCAUCUUCAUACAUUUUCAUGCGCAUCAUUAGGUUAUUUUAAAUUGUUUCUUAUAACUAUGUUUGUUUAAGCUAAAUGUUUACUUUGGUAUAUUAAGAUGCUUUAAUGUUUAAUUUUAUGUUAAUUCCUAUUUCUUAUU